GCACAAGCGGUGGAUGAUGUGGAUUAAUUCGAUGCAACGCGAAAAACCUUACCUACCCUUGACAUGUCCGGAAUCCCGGAGAGAUUCGGGAGCGCUCGCAAGAGAACCGGAACACAGGUGCUGCAUGGCUGUCGUCAGCUCGUGUCGUGAGAUGUUGGGUUAAGUCCCGCAACGAGCGCAACCCUUGUCAUUAGUUGCCAUCAUUCAGUUGGGCACUCUAAUGAGACUGCCGGUGACAAACCGGAGGAAGGUGGGGAUGACGUCAAGUCCUCAUGGCCCUUAUGGGUAGGGCUUCACACGUCAUACAAUGGUCGGUACAGAGGGUUGCCAACCCGCGAGGGGGAGCCAAUCCCACAAAGCCGAUCGUAGUCCGGAUUGGAGUCUGCAACUCGACUCCAUGAAGUCGGAAUCGCUAGUAAUCGUGGAUCAGCAUGUCACGGUGAAUACGUUCCCGGGCCUUGUACACACCG
rnacentral:rRNA from 1 species